GAUGAACGCUGGCGGCGUGCCUAAUACAUGCAAGUCGAGCGAACAGACGAGGAGCUUGCUCCUCUGACGUUAUCGGCGGACGGGUGAGUAACACGUGGAUAACCUACCUAUAAGACUGGGAUAACUUUGGGAAACCGGAGCUAAUACCGGAUAAUAUAUUGAACCGCAUGGUUCAAUAGUGAAAGUCGGUUUUGCUUUCACUUAUAGAUGAAUCCGCGCGGCAUUAGCUAGUUGGGAAGGUAACUGCUUACCAAGGCGACGAUGGAUAGCCGACCUGAAAGGGUCAUCGGACACACUGGAACAGAGGCACGUUCCAGACUCCGACGGUGGGCAGCAGUAGGGAAUCUUCCGCAAUGGGCGAAAGCCGGACGGAGCAACGCCGCGUGAGUGAUGAAGGUCUUCGGAUCGUAAAACUCUGUUAUUAGGGAAGAACAAAUGUGUAAGUAACUGUGCACAUCUUGACGGUACCGAAUCAGAAAGCCACGGCUAACUACGUG
rnacentral:rRNA from 1 species